GGUUUAGAUCCACUGCUUUUCCAUGGGAGCAAAGGAAAAUGGAGAAAAACUUUCAAGGGUUUUGAGAGCCAAACUUCACAGAUCUUCGCCGAACUCUUCAGUAACAGGGGCCAAAGUAUGUCGUGGGAGGAUCAGUAGAUCAGAGGCUACCCGGAUCUGUUAAUUUCAGACCAAGAGGACACGGCACGGUGGAGCCGUACAUAUUGUCCGUACUGUCGCCAUUAGGGGAGCUUCUGGGGGAGUUACCUAUAAAAUUUCUUCUUAGCCCUCCACAUCAUCAGGAAGCAUGGGGCUUUUGUUGACACGUGGCACUCCUAACAACGUAUGUUAUUCACUUUGAUUUUUCUUUUUAACCUAACCAACCGUCGCCGUUCCAAAUCCUCUUCUCAGCGAUUCAAAUCAAAAACGGCAGUCUUUACGGAAUUGAACCCUCAAUACCCACAACUUCAUCUUGCUUCUUUACUUCUUCUUCAAGCUCGCUCAUGGAGUAUAUAUAUAGAGGGUUUGAGCGUCUUCACAAUCAUCUAUUUUGUCUGCCUUUAAUGGCAUAACCCUAAAGCUCUCUCACCAAUAUCCGAUAAUGGCUAAUCAACAGCUCCGAUUCUCAGAGCUCAAGAUAGGCCGUAGUAUAAAUUUUGUGUCAAGAUAGGAGGAAAGUCGAUGGGUCUCGAUCUGAUCCUGCUUGAUGGAUAGGUAACUACUAUAAAUUUUGAUGUACGUUAAAAACCAUUAGGACCUUCUAAGAAUAACAUCUCACGGGGUAAGCCUCACCUGAUGAUGGUAUCCUUUGAUUAGGCAUUUCGAUCUCUGUUCUUUGUUUAUUCGUCUCUUUGUCUUUUAUUGUUUGCGUUAUUGGAUUUAUAUCUCGACGAUGUAAUUCGAUUUUCAUCGGGGGAUGGGGGCUUAAGAUUGUUUGGUAUCGCGUAGAUAACCAGCACUUGAUAUCUCCGUCGCGACCUUUCACUCUCGAGAGACAGUAGCUUUUCGUCAUGGUGAAUUCUCAAACCCACUCGAGAAUCGGGAUGGUACGCGUCGAAUUCUUCUUCCAAAAUUUGUGUUUAUAUAUCUGCCCAUUUUACUUCCUUCUGUGCAGGCAGAACAUGAACAAGAAGCUAUUAGGCAGAGGAAAAUGCAAGAGCUGAUGGCUCAACAUGGCACUGUAACUUCUAAUUUCUAAUAACCUUCACGGGAAGCAUGCAAUCAUCAGAAUCCAGAUCAAUAGAAAGCGCAAGAAAAUGCUAAGAGGUGUAUCGUUUGUUAUCUAUUAGUUGAAAAAAACUCUAUGUUGAGCUAAACUAUUCUCUGAUUGGAACGUAUGUUUAGGGAAGCUGAUGAACGUAGAAAAGUGAUGCUUAGUCAAAUGUUAUCUUCCCAAGCGCGAGAGAGAAGUAUUUCCCAUAAAAAAUGCUUUGGAAUUCGUCUUUCUUCUCUUCAUUUGUUUCUUGUGACUUAGAGUUAAACAAUAUCAUUGAGUUUAAAUU